AGAAUGCUAGUAAGUUCUUUCAUAUUAACAGCAUCUCAAAAUACCUUGGCGUAGAUUGAUCCUUCACUGAUUUCUUCUGACUUGUCUGGAAGGCCAAGUGUCUUUCCUGUCACUGGUAGCAUUGCUGAAGGAAGAAUAACAAGAAAUUCAGGCCAGCUCUCUAAAACUGUAUACAGCAAACACACCCAGGUUAUAUGUUUAACCCUGUAACUCAGAAUAGCAAGCAGGCAGGUGAGAGACUAAAUAAGAUUAAGAGACAGCAGCAUCAGCUAACCUAUUGUAGUGUUGGUGGGAGGUGGAGAGGCAGGAGAAUCUGUGCUGUAGCAGCCAAGCACACCUCCAGUGUUGUCUGCUAGGUAUGAGGGUAUUUCAGAUUGCAUGGUGGAGGGAGGUGUCAUUUAUCAGGGUCCUCUUUUAGAGGUACAUGAUUUGUGAAGGAGUGGCUGCUGAAAAAAAGGAGUAUGGACAAACCUGCAAAUAAGUACUGCUCGUAUUUCUCCUCUGAUUUCUUCUGUUGCGUUACUUGGGAGUCACCACCAACUUCUGUAUCUUCAUAUGGCAAAAGCAGAAUCUCGAUGUUAAUGGACCACUUACUAGGGACAACACAAAAUGCCUACGUUCAGUGGGUGCCUCCUCUGGAGUGCAGGUGGUGGCACCUGGGCUGUGCUGGGGGAGCUGCCCAUGCCCCCUACCAUGAGGAAGUCUGCUGGAGCUGCACAAAGUACCUUUGA
rnacentral:lncRNA from 1 species